AGGAACAGUUUAGUUUAACAGAUAAAGAUUUAAAAAUGAUCGACAGCGAAUCUUACGAGUUCCUUGUCUCAGAUCUCACCACAAUAGCUCGGGCAAAAUACGGUGGAAAAGACGGCCUGAAGCAGAGGUUGGAACAGUCAGUGUAGUUCAUACGAGGAUAUCUCGGUCGUCGACUUCCGAUGCAUGCCCUUUGUAGGUAGUCCUCCCACCCACCCAGAUGUGUUGCAACAGGCUGAGGAUGCAGCCAAGUGGUUGAUUUCAUGCAAGAACAGACAAGAAACUCGAUUGAGAAUAGAAGACUUACCUCCACUGGACCCCACGUUUGAGAUAAGC